UACGGAGGGUGCAAGCGUUAUCCGGAUUCACUGGGCGUAAAGGGUGCGUAGGCGGGUCUUUAAGUCAGGGGGGAAAUCCUGGAGCUCAACUCCAGAACUGCCUUUGAUACUGAAGAUCUUGAGUUCGGGAGAGGUGAGUGGAACUGCGAGUGUAGAGGUGAAAUUCGUAGAUAUUCGCAAGAACACCAGUGGCGAAGGCGGCUCACUGGCCCGAUACUGACGCUGAGGCACGAAAGCGUGGGGAGCAAACAGG
rnacentral:rRNA from 1 species